UUACUGGAGCCACACUCACUCCUCCCAGACGGCAGCUAGCAGCUAAGAGGAGAGAAGCAUGAAGGACCCCCGUAUUGACCGUGCUGUUGCUGUGUGCAAGAAGGUAGUGAGCAGCUUCUCUUUCAGUUGGAAGAGGUGGAGAGACCUGGCCACAGCGCAGCAAGAGCUAAAUCUCCCGGCACACCAGCUCAUCAGUGAGUCUCCUACCAGGUGGGGAUCCCGAGAGAAGAUGAUUGAGCGGGUACUGGAGCAGGAGCAAGCUAUUUCUCAAGUCUUGGCUGCAGACAAGAAAACCCGGCAUCUCGUUCUCACCUGGCAAGACCUGAAAGUUCUAGAGUCAGUGCACAAAACCUCUAAACAACCUGGUAUUCACUGGUUGUUGUUACAAAGGGACAACAUAGUAUGCACGAAAUACAACUACAUAUUUAUUUACUUUUUAUUUGUGCCAUAUAUUUCAUGCAGAAGAAACCAAAACUAAAGCUGCAAACUUUUCCAUAAUGGACCAGAUUCACCUUUUGUGCAUUGUUUUAUGUUUAGGUAUUGUGUUUGAAACCAUAGGAUUGUUUAUUAAAAAACUAAAAGGAGGGUCCUUUUUAUAAAUACACUUUCUUUUCCAACAUUUGAUUUCCUAUUAUGCAGCAAUUUUUUAUUUUACUGAUUUAGAAAUUACCUGUGACAUCCUGCACAAAAGCGCAUUAUAUAUAUUUGUUUUAAAUAUCCUAGUGGCAUUAUGCACAACAGGUGCACUUAAAUUUAGUGUUUUGAAAUGUCAUCUUAAUGACAACAUGCACAAAAGGGCACUUUAUUUGUUUUAAAUUAUUGUAGUGGCAUUAUGUACAAGAAGUGCACUUUAAUUUUGUGUUUUGAAAUGCCAUGUGAGUUACAGCGUGCCCUAAUGUCUUGUUUUGAAAUGUUGUCUCUGACAAUUUUGCACAAAACAUGCACUUUCUGUUGACAAUUUUAUGUUUGUGCCACUCACUGUUUAAUAAAUACAAUUAUGUUAACUUUGA